UGGGGAAUAUUGGACAAUGGGCGCAAGCCUGAUCCAGCCAUGCCGCGUGAGUGAUGAAGGCCCUAGGGUUGUAAAGCUCUUUCACCGGUGAAGAUAAUGACGGUAACCGGAGAAGAAGCCCCGGCUAACUUCGUGCCAGCAGCCGCGGUAAUACGAAGGGGACUAGCGUUGUCCGGAUUUACUGGGCGUAAAGCGCACGUAGGCGGACUUUUAAGUCAGGGGUGAAAUCCCGGGGCUCAACCCCGGAACUGCCUUUGAUACUGGAAGUCUUGAGUAUGGUAGAGGUGAGUGGAAUUCCGAGUGUAGAGGUGAAAUUCGUAGAUAUUCGGAGGAACACCAGUGGCGAAGGCGGCUCACUGGACCAUUACUGACGCUGAGGUGCGAAAGCGUGGGGAGCAAACA
rnacentral:rRNA from 1 species